rnacentral:rRNA from 1 species
UACGCAGGUGGCAAGCGUUGUCCGGAAUUAUUGGGCGUAAAGCGCGCGCAGGCGGUUUCUUAAGUCUGAUGUGAAAGCCCCCGGCUCAACCGGGGAGGGUCAUUGGAAACUGGGAAACUUGAGUGCAGAAGAGAAGAGCGGAAUUCCACGUGUAGCGGUGAAAUGCGUAGAGAUGUGGAGGAACACCAGUGGCGAAGGCGGCUCUUUGGUUUGUAACUGACGCUGAGGCGCGAAAGCGUGGGGAGCAAACAGG